GUGUUUUGCAAAUCCUCAGGAAGAAAACAGGCUGGUACAGAGCACAGAGCCGGUGACAGAAUAACCUCCUAGCAGUGAUGAAGGCAGUGCUUUUUCCAAGUCUGUUCUACCUGUUUGAAUUCAGUUACAAAUGCUGCAGCAAAGAAGUGGGGAACUGUGAAGUUCAAGUGCCUUAAUGAAUUUCAGCUCGAGCAUUUCAGGCUUUGCUGAAACCCUGCAAAGGCAGAGAUUCUGUGGAGCCAGUCUCGUUCAGCAUGGACACCUCCAGAAGCUGCUGCGUGACUGGCAGACGUGCAGCAAGGCACAGUGACCAGCAGCAGUGAUGGCACAAGUGGGUGACAUCACCAGCUUUUGACCUCCAGUCCAGUAACUGAGUCACAGGUCAGGCUAUCUUCUAUUGACCAUGCAAGCAUCUACAGAGCUCCUUAGCAGUACAGACUAAUGGAAGAAGAACAAAACAGCACACAACCACAGAUGCAUGUGUCCAUGCAGUAAGGCUGCUUCUAUGUAUCACUUAAACAGAUGAGAAAAGUUGCCAAAUUGUGCAGCUGCCUGACACCUCUCCGGCCCUCUUGGAGGCAGACACGCUCCUGGAGCCAGCUACACAGAAGGUCAAAUCAAAUGGCUUAAUGGUGACAAACACCCAGGGUAAGAGAACGUUAAAAGUAUUUUGAAGAGAGAUAUUUUGUCCUACAGAUUCCCAUGGAGAGAAGGGGGUAGAUUACUGUAGACAACUGGACAGACAGGGCCACUUUCAGCAACGUGGUAAGUGCUGAACACCAGCAUUUGCGUGAGCUCAGGCCCCAAGCUGUAAGCAUCAGCUGCAGUGUGGAACAUGGGAACCCCCUUAUCACAGAACAGAUCCCGCUGGAUGGGACCAGCUCCCUCAGGUCCUUCUCUGCAGAGAUGCUCUCCAGCAGGUCAUCCACAGCCCGAGCUGGUGCCUGGGGCAGUUCCUCCCCAGAGGCAGGACCGUGCAUCUGCCUUUGUAGAAUUCCAGACUGUUCCUCCCUGCCCAUGGCUCUGACCUGUUGAGAUCCAUCUGCAGGGCUGCCCAACACCCAGGGGUAUUGGCCACUCCUGCCACCUCUGUCCAAAAGCUCUGUACUGUGGGUUUGUGCAUAAUGGCCACUACUCCCAUUGCCAGCUGACAGUAAAAAGGAGGCUUUCAGAGAGACAAGGAAGAAUAAUUUUCACAUAUUACUUUUAAAAGGAACUGCUUCUAACAACAGAAGCUUUUUACAUUACAUUGUCAGGAGAGAGGUUCUGCAUUUUUAGCAAAGGCUUUUUUAUUGCUCAAACAUGAAGAAGCAUUUAAUUACUGAAAUAACAUGUUAAGGAUGAAAUCCAGUUCUAUUCAUCCAAAAUCAAAAAAGGCCAUGUCAGGCUAAUAAGCUACUUCUUCCAAGUUGGGAAUUUUAUCUGGUGUUUUAAAAAUUAUAAGCUGAAAUUUGACUCUAUAAAUGUAUACAUUGAAGCAUAAUCAUGAAAACAUUCACUAUACAAAUGUUAAUUUGUUUGAAAACACAGUUGAUUCUGUCCUUAAAUUUACAUUUAAUGGAAAAAAAAAAUCAAUUAAUUACAGGGACACAUGUUUGUAUGGGACCUACCCAAAUAGCUAACAAUAGCUAAUUUCCCUACCUAUAGCAAAAUGAAACUAAAUAUAGUGAGUGGAUAGAGAUUAAUUUUGUAAAUUUUCCUCAUUACACCUUCCCUCUCUGCAACACAGUCAGAACAGCUGGGACUAAUCAAGGGUCUGAAUGAAAUAACAUGGUCCUAACAUCCUAUCAUAUAAAGAUUUUACAAUCUAUAGUAAGCUCAGUGUGGUUUUUUCUAACUUGUAUAUAUUAAAACUGGUUGUAUUGCUAAAUGUGGUAAAAAAGCACACCAUGUGCUAUCAUCAGCACCACAUUUUCUUCCCAGAGUUGGUGUAGAGUUAAAAAAAGGGGAAAAUGUUUAAGUUUUUAU